GGAACCCGUGUCCUAGAGGUGGGGGUGCCCGAAAGGGAGCCGUAACACAGGUGCUGCAUGGCUGUCGUCCGCUCGUGUCGUGAGAUGUUGGGUUAAGUCCCGCAACGAGCGCAACCCUUGUCCCCAGUUGCUACGCAAGAGCACUCCGGGGAGACUGCCGGUGACAAACCGGAGGAAGGUGGGGAUGACGUCAAGUCCUCAUGGCCCUUAUGGGUAGGGCUUCACACGUCAUACAAUGGUCGGAACAGAGGGUUGCGAAGCCGCGAGGUGGAGCCAAUCCCAGAAAACCGAUCGUAGUCCGGAUUGCAGUCUGCAACUCGACUGCAUGAAGCUGGAAUCGCUAGUAAUCGCGGAUCAGCAUGCCGCGGUGAAUACGUUCCCGGGUCUUGUACACACCG
rnacentral:rRNA from 1 species